GAGCGUCAGACGAGGAAGUGCUCCUUUGACGUUAGCGGCGGACGGGGGAGACACACGUGUAUGACCUACCUAUAAGACUGGGAUAACUUCGGGAAACCGGAGCUAAUACCGGAUAAUAUAUUGAACCGCAUGGUUCAAUAGUGAAAGACGGUUUUGCUGUCACUUAUAGAUGGAUCCGCGCCGCAUUAGCUAGUUGGUAAGGUAACGGCUUACCAAGGCAACCAUGCGUAGCCGACCUGAGAGGGUGAUCGGCCACACUGGAACUGAGACACGGUCCAGACUUAUACGGGAGGCAGCAGUAGGGAAUCUUCCGCAAUGGGCGAAAGCCUGACGGAGCAACGCCGCGAGAGUGAUGAAGGUCUUCGGAUCGUAAAACUCUGUUAUUAGGGGAAGAACAAAUGUGUAAGUAACUAUGCACGUCUUGACGGUACCUAAUCAGAAAGCCACGGCUAACUACGUGCCAGCAGCCGCGGUAAUACGUAGGUGGCAAGCGUUAUCCGGGAAUUAUUGGGGCGUAAAGCGCGCGUAGGCGGUUUUUUAAGCCUGAUGUGAAAAGCCCACCGGCUCAACCGUGGAGGGGUCAUUGGAAACUGGAAAACUUGAGUGCAGAAAAGGAAAGGGGAAUUCCAUGGGGUAGCGGUGAAAAUGCGCAAAAAAUUUGGAGGGAACACCAGUGGGCGAAAGGGGACUUUUCUGGGCCGGUAACUGAACGCUUAAUGUGCGAAAAGCGGGGGGGGAUCAAAACAGGGAUUAGAAUACCCCUGGGAAGUCCCACGCC
rnacentral:rRNA from 1 species